rnacentral:rRNA from 1 species
CUUAAUUUGACUCAACGCGGGAAAACUUACCAGGUCCAGACAUAAUGAGGAUUGACAGAUUGAGAGCUCUUUCUUGAUUUUAUGGGUGGUGGUGCAUGGCCGUUCUUAGUUGGUGGAGUGAUUUGUCUGGUUAAUUCCGUUAACGAACGAGACCGCCGCCUGCUAAAUAGUUCCGUGAAUCUAUUUUUGAUUGAUGAGAGCUUCUUAGAGGGACGUCCAUUCUACAAGAUGGAGGAAGAUGGCGGCAAUAA